AUGAAGGAGGAGAGCGGCUGCAGCGGCGAGAAGCGGCGGGCAGAAUGGGCAUCGCUUCAGCCGGAGCUCGUCCAGCUCAUCGCCGACCGCGUCCUCUCCACCAGCGGCGUCGACGAGUACAUGGGCAUGAGGGCCGUCUGCCCCGCCUGGCGCUCUGCCGUGGCCAAGCCGUCUCCGCACGCCGCGGUCGCCGACCUCCGGUUCCGGCCACGGCAGUGGGUCCUGCUCCACGGGGCAGACGACCAAGAAGGCCGGCCCCUCUUCCUCAACGUCGCCACAGGGCGCUUCCGCCGUCUGCGCCUCCCGCUGCUCCGUGACUACAUCUUCGUCGGUGCAUCCGACGGUCUCCUCGUCCUCGGGGCCAGGGAUCUCCCGCAUGCUGCUCGUCUCCUCAACCCAUUGACAGGUGACAUGCUUCCCUUUGCAGCGCCGAUACCACCGGAAGAUUGGGUGGAGACUGCAAUUGUUGUUGGCUUUGAACCAACUAUUAUCUUCGCUUUCGAACCAGCCUACGGCAAAUACCAAUAUAUCCCAGCUUAUUGUUCUUUGGGGCGAGGUGGUGACGCGGUUUACUCUGCUGAUCCCAUGGGCCAGCUCCGUGCGGUCAGGUUUCAUGAUGCUGCUUCCAACCAGGAUGCCCUGUUCUACCUCCGGAGCAUGGUCACCUAUGCGGACAAUGUUUAUGUGCUCAAUUCUGGAGGAACCUUAUGCAAGAUCGUUCGGACCGGUGGCCACUGGUAUGCGGAGCGGAUAUUGGAGGUUGACAAGGACUACAAUGUUGCUCUUGUUGAGUCAGCCGGUAAACUGCUGCUUAUUAGAGAGCAACCCGAAAUCAUUCAAGUUUUCAGCAUCGAUGUCAAGCGGAAGCUACUUGAACCAAUAGAAAGUCUCGGCAGCAGCGCGCUCUUCAUAAGUCAUGGCAACUGUAUGGUAGUUGAUGCAGAUAUGCUUCCUUCCAUCAAGGGCAACUGCAUCUACAGCAUUUCUUUUGCUGGAAUCCAGUUGGACAGCGUACACGUCUUGUAUGACCUCAGCGAUGGCAAGAGAAGAUGCUUUUCCGGCCCUCUGAUUCCUGGAGAUGGUCUUCCACCUGAAAGUGAUAUCAUUCAUGAAGGCCCUUUGAGCCUUGCUCAGACCCCAAAGAAUUGA
rnacentral:rRNA from 1 species